rfam:Oryza nivara chromosome 2, whole genome shotgun sequence.
AUACCUUUCUCGGCCUUUUGGCUAAGAUCAAGUGUAGUAUCUGUUCUUAUCGGUUUAAUAUCUGAUAUGUGGGCUAUGUGCCCAUUGUGAUAUUAAAUUUAUUUUUUGUGGGGGAGGGCUCACCACAGUGGCUUGCCACUGGGCCUCACGCGUCGCCCAGGCGUUGCACUGCUGCCCGGGCCUGGCGCACCCCAA